rnacentral:lncRNA from 1 species
UGUCUUUAUUUUUAGUUAUGUCUAGCUAAAUUUGGCGUUGCUAGGAUGUGUAGUUAGUAGCUAAUAGGGGUUCGGUAGUUAAUUCGUGCUUAAUAAUUUUCAACCACCGGUUUUAAAUAAAUAAGUUUUCAAACGAUUUGUCACGAGAGUGAGGAUUGUUUUAAAGGCAAUAAACCAACAUUGACGAGAGUUGAGGUUUAGGGCCGGAUAGUUAAAACUGACCGUUAGUUCUAAAGUCCGCGAGAGCUAUUUAGGAUUGAUGAGUUUUAUAUUGGUUUUCAAAGGUACUUAUAUAGGUAAGUGAGCGCGUGAGAGCAGAGCAUUUAUUUUAUCUAAGUAUAACGCUAGUCAAGAUU